ACUAUAUCAGAAGGUACCUGGACGGCAUGUUAAGAUAAAACUGCUAACCCUUUUCCAGCCUAAGGUGACUGAUUUUUUUUUUUUUUGAGUUGUGUUACUUGUUGAUUUUCCAAAUGGGUUCAUGAGAUUAAAGCAUGAAAAGUAUAGGAAAUUAUUAAUCACCAACCAAUCAUUUAUUUAUUUAGUUUGGAUGGCUGCCUACUCGUUAUGUGAGAUAUAUGCACAGGACUCUUUGCUCCUGGGCAAAAGAAAAUAUGAAUGCUUGCAAAUAGUCAUGAGGAACAAACUGGGGAAGGAAGUAGUGAUAGACCAGGAGACUAGUACUACGUAAGCCACAAGGGGGGUUCAAGGAAUGAUGGAGAAUGAAAAACAGAGCAAAACAAAGACAAUAAAAGAAUACACAAGCAUGUUCAAUGGAUCCAGAACAUAGAUUGUUGGCCAGUCUGUAGGUUCACUCAGACAUAUUUGGGGGCAUAUUCUAAAUGCUUGGGCAAGAUUUCAAAAGCUUCCAAGUCACUGGAGGUGGAGGGCAGGGCCAUACGAGAUUAUAAUGGAAAGAACUGUGAUUGCAUCCAGCAAGAACCAGGUUGGGGAAAGUAGGAAAUGGAAAGAAGGUGGAGAGACUCAAAUAAAGAAUGCCUAAGGACAGGAUAUAUACUGACUUAUAUCAGAUCUCACCAUGAU